rnacentral:lncRNA from 1 species
CGUCGGUUCACUGUCUUGUCACUAUCUGAUCUCUGUCGGAUUACAUUCGGUAGAAUCGGGACGCAGUCGUGACAGACUCGGUCGAAUUUUACCUGGCGAAAGAUACAAAUCGGGUUAAAAGCGGAUUUAGAACGGGAUUAUCGGGAUAAAUUCGCUUGGAAACGGUUGAAUAUCGACGCUUCCUGAACAAUAUCUGAUUGUUGUCGUG